GACGAACGCUGGCGGCGCGCCUAACACAUGCAAGUCGAACGAGCGAGAGAGAGCUUGCUUUCUCGAGCGAGUGGCGAACGGGUGAGUAACGCGUGAGGAACCUGCCUCAAAGAGGGGGACAACAGUUGGAAACGACUGCUAAUACCGCAUAAGCCCACGGGUCGGCAUCGACCAGAGGGAAAAGGAGCAAUCCGCUUUGAGAUGGCCUCGCGUCCGAUUAGCUAGUUGGUGAGGUAACGGCCCACCAAGGCAACGAUCGGUAGCCGGACUGAGAGGUUGAACGGCCACAUUGGGACUGAGACACGGCCCAGACUCCUACGGGAGGCAGCAGUGGGGAAUAUUGCACAAUGGGGGAAACCCUGAUGCAGCGACGCCGCGUGGAGGAAGAAGGUCUUCGGAUUGUAAACUCCUGUUGUUGGGGAAGAUAAUGACGGUACCCAACAAGGAAGUGACGGCUAACUACGUGCCAGCAGCCGCGGUAAAACGUAGGUCACAAGCGUUGUCCGGAAUUACUGGGUGUAAAGGGAGCGCAGGCGGGAAGACAAGUUGGAAGUGAAAUCUAUGGGCUCAACCCAUAAACUGCUUUCAAAACUGUUUUUCUUGAGUAGUGCAGAGGUAGGCGGAAUUCCCGGUGUAGCGGUGGAAUGCGUAGAUAUCGGGAGGAACACCAGUGGCGAAGGCGGCCUACUGGGCACCAACUGACGCUGAGGCUCGAAAGUGUGGGUAGCAAACAGGAUUAGAUACCCUGGUAGUCCACACCGUAAACGAUGAUUACUAGGUGUUGGAGGAUUGACCCCUUCAGUGCCGCAGUUAACACAAUAAGUAAUCCACCUGGGGAGUACGACCGCAAGGUUGAAACUCAAAGGAAUUGACGGGGGCCCCGCACAAGCAGUGGAGUAUGUGGUUUAAUUCGACGCAACGCGAAGAACCUUACCAAGUCUUGACAUCCCUUGACAGACAUAGAAAUAUGUAUUCUCUUCGGAGCAAGGAGACAGGUGGUGCAUGGUUGUCGUCAGCUCGUGUCGUGAGAUGUUGGGUUAAGUCCCGCAACGAGCGCAACCCUUAUGGUCAGUUACUACGCAAGAGGACUCUGGCCAGACUGCCGUUGACAAAACGGAGGAAGGUGGGGAUGACGUCAAAUCAUCAUGCCCUUUAUGACUUGGGCUACACACGUACUACAAUGGCGUUAAACAAAGAGAAGCAAGACCGCGAGGUGGAGCAAAACUCAGAAACAACGUCCCAGUUCGGACUGCAGGCUGCAACUCGCCUGCACGAAGUCGGAAUUGCUAGUAAUCGUGGAUCAGCAUGCCACGGUGAAUACGUUCCCGGGCCU
rnacentral:rRNA from 1 species